rnacentral:sRNA from 1 species
UUCUAAACCCGACAAAAGCGGAAAUACUUUUUGUUGCAGCACCGGUAAAUACCCCCCUCAUGCUGCUAAAAAGAUUGUAGCGAAUGGCGGGACUACAG